rnacentral:rRNA from 1 species
AUUGAACGCUGGCGGAAUGCUUUACACAUGCAAGUCGAACGGCAGCACGGACUUCGGUCUGGUGGCGAGUGGCGAACGGGUGAGUAAUACAUCGGAACGUGCCCAAUCGUGGGGGAUAACGUAGCGAAAGCUACGCUAAUACCGCAUACGAUCUAAGGAUGAAAGCGGGGGAUCGCAAGACCUCGCGCGAUUGGAUCGGCCGAUGGCAGAUUAGGUAGUUGGUAGGGUAAAGGCCUACCAAGCCGACGAUCUGUAGCUGGUCUGAGAGGAUGAUCAGCAACACUGGGACUGAGACACGGCCCAGACUCCUACGGGAGGCAGCAGUGGGGAAUUUUGGACAAUGGACGCAAGUCUGAUCCAGCCAUUCCGCGUGCAGGAUGAAGGCCCUCGGGUUGUAAACUGCUUUUGUACAGAACGAAAAGGCUCUGGUUAAUACCUAGGGCUCAUGACGGUACUGUAAGAAUAAGCACCGGCUAACUACGUGCCAGCAGCCGCAGUAA